rnacentral:rRNA from 1 species
GACGAACGCUGGCGGCGUGCCUAAUACAUGCAAGUAGGACGCAGUUGCGAACGGGUGAGUAACGCGUAGGUCACUACAUAUUAGAGGGGGCUAACUAUUGGAAACGAUAGCUCAUACCGCAUACUAGUAGAUGGACCUGCGUGGUAUUAGCUAGUAGGUAGGGUAAUGGCCUACCUAGGCAACGAUACAUAGCCGACCGGGGAGGGGUAUCGGCCACACUGGGACUGGGACACGGCCCAGAAUCCUACGGGAGGGAGGAGUAGGGAAUCUUCGGCAAAGAGGGGAACCCUGAACGAGCAACGCCGCGGGAGUUGAGAAGGUUUUCGGAGCGGAAAGCUCUGUUGUUAAGGAAGCGGUACUUAACCAGAAAGCGACGGCUAACUACGUGCCAGCAGCCGCGGUAAUUC